UUUAAAUUUCUCCAUUACCCAUAACCCCCCAUUACUUAUUACUAACAUUUACCCAUCAUUCCGUGACCAGACCCCCAUUAACCCCUUCCAUUCCAUCAUUAUUUUCCAUUGCCCCUUCCGUUUCCCAUUUAUCAUAGUAAUAUUUCAUGAUUAGCAAUAUUAACCAUUAUUUUCAACGUUACCAGAUUUUUUUUUUUUUUUUUUCGUUUUCCCCCAAUUUAAAUUUAUUAUUUCUGUCAUCUAUUUUUUUUUCAUUUUUCUCCAUUAAAAUUGACGUAUUUUUUCUUAUUCCUCAUUUUUUCUUAUUUUUUCCCAUUAAAAUUGACGUAUUUCUUAUCAUUUCCCAUUUUUUCUUAUUUUUCCCAUUAAAAUUGACUUAUUUUUUUCUUAUUUUCUUUUUUUCUUAUUUUUCCCUAUUAAAAUUGACGUAUUUCUUCUUAAUCACCAUUUUUUCUUAUUUUUUCCCGCUAAAAUUGACUUUUUCUUAUUUUUCCUUUUUCCUAUUUUCCCCAUUAAAAUUGACGUAUUUUUUCUUAUUUUCCAUUUUUCCCCAUUAAAAUUGACGUAUUUCUUCUCAUUCCCCAUUUUUCCUUAUUUUCCCCAUUAAAAUUGGCGUAUUUUUCUCAUCAUCCAUUUUUUCCCGUUUUCUAUUAUGUUCCCAUCAUCUAGUUUUCCCGUUUUCCAUUAAUUUCCCCCAUCAACCAUUUUUUUCCCCCGUUUUCUCCAUUAAAAUUGACGUAUUCCCAUUAUUUCAUGACUAGCAGUGUUAACCCUUACAACCCCCCAUUUUCUUUAACUCAUUUCAUCAUCAUUAUUUAAUAUCGACCAAUUAUUGCAUUAUUCCCCCAUUACUUCAAAUUUUCAAUACCAUUACGUAUAAAGAUCCCAUUAAUUCUCUAUGUUUCUUCCCCCUAUCCAUUUUCUAUAUCAGGUCAUUUUCUCCAUUAACAACCCAAUUAACCUUUAACGAUACCUAAUUGACUCUUUAACUAUUAUUACUAUUUAAACCCAUUAAUUUCAGUAUUUCUUUUCUGCUCUUGUUUCUAUUACCAAUUAGAAUAUGUAUUUGUUUGUUUGUUUCUUUUUUACCAUUGAUAUUAACAAUUUGUAGUGUGUGUGUGUGUGUGUGUGUGUAUGCGUUAUUAUUAUUAUUAUUAUUAUUAUUAUUAUUAUUAUUAUUAUUACUUGGUAUUUUAAUUAAUUUGCUAACACAUUCCAUUGCGUGUGUGUGUGUGUGUGUGUGUGUUUCUGUUUGUGUGUGUGUACGUGUGUUUAAACAUUACAAACAAACGGACAAACAUUUUCAAACAUAUAAUUCUUAUGUUUAGAAAGAAAAAAAAAAUUGAGAAAAGUUUUUAAAAGAAUGAAUUUUUGGCCCAAACUGGAAAAAAAAAAUGAAAAGAAAUUAAAUCUAGAAAUAUUUAUCUUAUCAUUAUUAUUAUUGUUAUUAUUUUAUUAUUAUUAUUAUUAUUAUUAUUAUUAUUAUUAUUAUUAUUAUUAUUAUUAUUAUUAUCAUUAGCGCACACUUUUAUAUUAAUGUUCACUGCACCGAAAUUUAAAUAUAAGUCAAGAAAAAAAAUACUCAUAUUACUAUUAUUAUUACUAUUAUUAUUAUUAUUAUUAUUAUUAUUAUUAUUAUUAUUAUUAUUAUCACUGCUAAACAUGACUUGGGAUGGCUCUGUUGGUAUUCAUGAUAGUAACUGCUGUUGUCAUUUAAUAAUAAAAUAUAUCUAUGCUC